GACGAACGCUGGCGGCGUGCUUAACACAUGCAAGUCGAACGGAAAGGCCCUGCUUUUGUGGGGUGCUCGAGUGGCGAACGGGUGAGUAACACGUGAGUAACCUGCCCUUGACUUUGGGAUAACUUCAGGAAACUGGGGCUAAUACCGGCUAGGAGCUCCUGCUGCAUGGUGGGGGUUGGAAAGUUUCGGCGGUUGGGGAUGGACUCGCGGCUUAUCAGCUUGUUGGUGGGGUAGUGGCUUACCAAGGCUUUGACGGGUAGCCGGCCUGAGAGGGUGACCGGCCACAUUGGGACUGAGAUACGGCCCAGACUCCUCCGGGAGGCAGCAGUGGGGAAUAUUGCACAAUGGGCGGAAGCCUGAUGCAGCAACGCCGCGUGCGGGAUGACGGCCUUCGGGUUGUAAACCGCUUUCGCCUGUGACGAAGCGUGAGUGACGGGAAUGGGUACAGAAGCACCGGCUAACUACGUG
rnacentral:rRNA from 1 species